UGAGGUUAAAGAAGGGCUCUUAAUAUUUACAGUCCCAGAGGAAGAAUUUGGUUAAUUAGCAUGGGAGAGAACUGAGGCACUGCAUGACCAGGGUAAUAAUUUAUAUUGGAGAGGGCAAGCAUUUAGUGGCAGAAGAGAAACUAACAUCCAGAGAGUAAGUUAGAUGUGAGCCACUGAAGGUCCAGGUUUGAAAAUAUGGAAAGUCUGGAACAAGGGAAGAGAC
rnacentral:lncRNA from 10 species